AUGAAGCCCAUCCCUCUGAUGACGCCGUACACGAUGGGCGAGUUCGACCUGUCGCACAGGGUCGUGCUGGCGCCGCUCACGCGGCAGCGCGCCUACGGCGGCGUGCCGCAGCCGCACGCCGCCCUGUACUACUCCCAGCGCGCCUCCCCCGGCGGCCUCCUCAUCUCCGAGGCCACGCGGGUUUCCCCGCCGGCCUCGCGGCAGGAGGAGCCGGAGUCGUCCUUCGGGGACGUCCCCGGGAUCUGGACGCCGGAGCAGGUCGGGGCCUGGGCGCCCGUGGUGGACGCCGUGCACGCCAAGGGCGCCGUCUUCUUCUGCCAGCUCUGGCACGUCGCCGGCGAUGCUGCCCGGCAAAGGGAGCAGCAGGUGAGCCCACAGAUGAGCUUCGACGGCCGCCGCAAGGAGCUGACGUCCCCGAGGAGGGUGGCGCAGGGGGAGGCUCCCCGCGUCGUCGAUGGGUUCAGACGCGCCGCCCGGAACGCCGUCGACGCCGGCUUCGACGGCGUCGAGAUCCUCGGCGCCAACGGCUACUUCGUCGACGGCGAUGGCAUGGAGAACCGGUGCCGGUUCGCGCUGGAUGUGGUCGACGCUGUGGUGCGGGAGAUCGGCGGCCAACGCGUGGGCGUGCGGCUGGACCAGUUCAGCGCCGAGCCCGACGAGCACGCGCUGGCGCUCGACGUCGUGAGCCGGCUCAACGACCACGGCGUGCUCUACUGCCACAUGAUCGAGCCGAGGGUGGACGGACGGCGGCGCGUGUCCCGGCGGCUGCUGCCGUUCAGGGAGGCGUUCGGCGGCACGUUCAUCGCCAGCGGCGGGUACGGGCGGGAGGAGGGCGACGCUGCCGUCGGCGAGGGGUACACCGACCUGGUGGCGUACGAGCGACUGUUCCUGGCGAACCCGGACCUGCCGAGGAGGUUCGAGCUCGGCGCGCCGCUCAACGACUGCGUCAGCGCCACCUUCCACGGCGCCGGCGCCGCAGCCGACCCCGCCGUCGGGUACACCGACUACCCGUUUCUCGACUGA
rnacentral:rRNA from 1 species